GACGAACGCUGGCGGCGUGCUUAACACAUGCAAGUCGAACGGAAAGGCCCUGCUUUUGUGGGGUGCUCGAGUGGCGAACGGGUGAGUAACACGUGUGUAACCUGCCCUUGACUUUGGGAUAACUUCAGGAAACUGGGGCUAAUACAGGAUAGGAGCUCCUGCUGCAUGGUGGGGGUUGGAAAGUUUCGGCGGUGGGGGAUGGACUCGCGGCUUAUCAGCUUGUUGGUGGGGUAGUGGCUUACCAAGGCUUUGACGGGUAGCCGGCCUGAGAGGGUGACCGGCCACAUUGGGACUGAGAUACGGCCCAGACUCCUACGGGAGGCAGCAGUGGGGAAUAUUGCACAAUGGGCGGAAGCCUGAUGCAGCAACGCCGCGUGCGGGAUGACGGCCUUCGGGUUGUAAACCGCUUUCGCCUGUGACGAAGCGUGAGUGACGGUAAUGGGUAAAGAAGCACCGGCUAACUACGUG
rnacentral:rRNA from 1 species